rnacentral:rRNA from 1 species
CACUUCUAAGGAAGGCAGCAGGCGCGCAAAUUACCCAAUCCUGACUCAGGGAGGUAGUGACAAGAAAUAACAAUAAACCGGCUUAUGCCGGUUUAAUUGGAAUGAGUACAAUUUAAACAUCUUAACGAGGAACAAUUGGAGGGCAAGUCUGGUGCCAGCAGCCGCGGUAAUUCCAGCUCCAAUAGCGUAUACUAAAGUUGUUGCAGUUAAAAAGCUCGUAGUUGGAUUUCUGUGGGGACGGAGCGGCCGGCCGCAACACGCGGUUCGAGCUAGCGCUUUCCCUACAUCCUGCCGCGAACCGUGCUACCAUUAGUUUGGUGGCGCCGGGGAUCGGCUCGAUUACUUUGAGAAAAAUGGAGUGUUCAAAGCAGGCCACACGCCUUGAAUAAGUUAGCAUGGAAUAAUAACUAAGGACUUCGGUUCUAUUUUGUUGGUGUUCGGGACUGAAGUAAUGAUUGAUAGGGACAGUUGGGGCGGUCUGUAUUCCAAAGCGAGAGGUGAAAUUCUUAGACCUUCGGAAGACAAACAGCUGCGAAAGCGUUCCGCAAGGAUGUUCCCUUUGAUCAAGAACGAAAGUUGGGGGAUCGAAGACGAUCAGAUACCGUCGUAGUCUCAACUAUAAACUAUACCAGCUAGGGAUCGGCCAACGUUAUUCUAUACCGACUUGGUCGGCACCUUAUGAGAAAUCAAAGCAUCUGGGUUCCGGGGGGAGUAUGGUCGCAAGGCUGAAACUUAAAGGAAUUGACGGAAGGGCACCACCAGCCGUGGAGCCUGUGGCUUAAUUUGACUCAACACGGGAAAACUUACCAGGUCCAGACAUAGUAAGGAUUGACAGAUUGAUAGCUCUUUCUUGAUUCUGUGGGUGGUGGUGCAUGGCCGUUCUUAGUUGGUGGAGUGAUUUGUCUGGUUAAUUCCGUUAACGAACGAGACCCCAGCCUGCUAAAUAGCGCGCGUGAGCUUUGCUCGCGGCGAGCUUCUUAGAGGGACUAUGAUGCGCGAUAGCACAUGGAAGUUUGGGGCAAUAACAGGUCUGUGAUGCCCUUAGAUGUUCUGGGCCGCACACGGGCCACACUGGCGCCUGCAACGAGCAUAUCAGCUGGCCCGAGAGGGUCUUGGCUAAUCUUUUGAACCGGCGCCGUGCUUGGGAUUGACCUUUGCAAUUGUUGGUCAUGCAACGAGGAAUGCCUUGUAAACGCGAGUCAUCAGCUCGCAUUGAAUACGUCCCUGCCCUUUGUACACACCGCCCGUCGCUCCUACCGAUGAAUGUUCCGAUGAAAUUUUCGGAGAGUGCCUGUGAACUUGGCUCUGCCUUGCGAACGGGAAGCUCAAAGUCACUUAAAUCUGAACAUUUC